UAUGACCCAUUUCGGUGUGGCUUUAUGUGACAUCCCAAUAAUCCCACAUCGGAUGGAAAUAGAGUUGUCAUUGGGUUUAUAAAAGGACUCUAUCCUAAUAAUAAUAUAUGAGCUUAAGCAUUUUUGGCUAGUGUUUUGGGUCCAACGAAUUAUUAUUGCUAGUGGAUUAGAUCGUUACAUUUUUGUAUCAAAGCUAGUUCAUCAGCCGGAAGUGUGAGAUAAGCCUUGACUGAGUUAGGGUCGGAAUGGUAGACUAAACUAGGAUUGGUGAUUGACAGGCUAAGUUAGGGUCGAAAUGACAAAGGCUAGCGAGAUAAGUCUCACAUCGCCAGGUGAUCUUAGGCUAUGUGUGUUUAGAGCUGACAAUGACGUCAGGGCCUAAACAGGGAGAGUCUGUGACAUCCCAAUAGUCCCACAUCGGAUGGAAAUAAGGUUGUUAGGGGGAGUCUGUGACAUCCCAAUAGUCCCACAUCGGAUGAAAAUAAGAUUGUCAUUGGGUUUAUAAGAGGACUCCACCCUAAUUGACAAGGACGUCUCACAUCGGAU
rnacentral:lncRNA from 1 species